rnacentral:rRNA from 1 species
UACGAAGGGGGCUAGCGUUGCUCGGAAUCACUGGGCGUAAAGCGCACGUAGGCGGACUCUUAAGUCAGGGGUGAAAUCCUGGAGCUCAACUCCAGAACUGCCUUUGAUACUGAGAGCUUGAGUCCGGGAGAGGUGAGUGGAACUGCGAGUGUAGAGGUGAAAUUCGUAGAUAUUCGCAAGAACACCAGUGGCGAAGGCGGCUCACUGGCCCGGUACUGACGCUGAGGUGCGAAAGCGUGGGGAGCAAACAGG